rnacentral:rRNA from 1 species
GAUGAACGCUAGCGGGAGGCCUAACACAUGCAAGCCGAGCGGUAGAGAUUCUUCGGAAUCUUGAGAGCGGCGUACGGGUGCGGAACACGUGUGCAACCUACCUUUAUCAGGGGGAUAGCCUUUCGAAAGGAAGAUUAAUACCCCAUAAUAUAUUGAAUGGCAUCAUUUGAUAUUGAAAACUCCGGUGGAUAGAGAUGGGCACGCGCAAGAUUAGAUAGUUGGUAGGGUAACGGCCUACCAAGUCAAUGAUCUUUAGGGGGCCUGAGAGGGUGAUCCCCCACACUGGUACUGAGACACGGACCAGACUCCUACGGGAGGCAGCAGUGAGGAAUAUUGGACAAUGGGUGAAAGCCUGAUCCAGCCAUCCCGCGUGAAGGACGACGGCCCUAUGGGUUGUAAACUUCUUUUGUAUAGGGAUAAACCUUUCCACGUGUGGAAAGCUGAAGGUACUAUACGAAUAAGCACCGGCUAACUCCGUGCCAGCAGCCGCGGUAAUACGGAGGGUGCAAGCGUUAUCCGGAUUUAUUGGGUUUAAAGGGUCCGUAGGCGGAUCUGUAAGUCAGUGGUGAAAUCUCAUAGCUUAACUAUGAAACUGCCAUUGAUACUGCAGGUCUUGAGUAAAGUAGAAGUGGCUGGAAUAAGUAGUGUAGCGGUGAAAUGCAUAGAUAUUACUUAGAACACCCAUUGCGAAGGCAGGUCACUAUGUUUUAACUGACGCUGAUGGACGAAAGCGUGGGGAGCGAACAGGAUUAGAUACCCUGGUAGUCCACGCCGUAAACGAUGCUAACUCGUUUUUGGGACUUCGGUUUCAGAGACUAAGCGAAAGUGAUAAGUUAGCCACCUGGGGAGUACGUUCGCAAGAAUGAAACUCAAAGGAAUUGACGGGGGCCCGCACAAGCGGUGGAUUAUGUGGUUUAAUUCGAUGAUACGCGAGGAACCUUACCAAGACUUAAAUGGGAAAUGACAGGUUUAGAAAUAGAUCCUUCUUCGGACAUUUUUCAAGGUGCUGCAUGGUUGUCGUCAGCUCGUGCCGUGAGGUGUUAGGUUAAGUCCUGCAACGAGCGCAACCCCUGUCACUAGUUGCUAACAUUCAGUUGAGGACUCUAGUGAGACUGCCUACGCAAGUAGAGAGGAAGGUGGGGAUGACGUCAAAUCAUCACGGCCCUUACGUCUUGGGCCACACACGUAAUACAAUGGCCGGUACAGAGGGCAGCUACACAGCGAUGUGAUGCGAAUCUCGAAAGCCGGUCUCAGUUCGGAUUGGAGUCUGCAACUCGACUCUAUGAAGCUGGAAUCGCUAGUAAUCGCGCAUCAGCCAUGGCGCGGUGAAUACGUUCCCGGGCCU